rnacentral:rRNA from 1 species
UACGGAGGGGACUAGCGUUGUUCGGAAUUACUGGGCGUAAAGCGCACGUAGGCGGAUUUGUAAGUCAGGGGUGAAAUCCCGGGGCUCAACCUCGGAACUGCCUUUGAUACUGCAAAUCUCGAGUCCGGAAGAGGUGAGUGGAAUUCCUAGUGUAGAGGUGAAAUUCGUAGAUAUUAGGAAGAAACACCAGUGGCGAAGGCGGCUCACUGGUCCGGUACUGACGCUGAGGUGCGAAAGCGUGGGGAGCAAACAGGG